CUCCGUGUCAUUAGAGAGAGUUGUCUUUUUCCAUGUCGUUGAUCUUCCCAGAUUUGUAGACGCUUGGCUCGGAUGUGAGCUGACAUUUUUUGCUUGGCUUUGUCCUGUCAACGCGAUGCAUACUACAAAUGCUAUCAACAGUUGCAGGUAUCUGGCGUUGGGAAGCAUGAUUACACCAAGCAAUACUGUUUUGGCUUCUGUUUGAUAGUUUUGUCUUCGCAAGUAAACUCCUGUCCGUUUCCUGUUCGUUUUAAUGCGGUGUGAUCAAGUUGCAAAAAAAUUACAGUGUGUAUAUACAAACCGGUUGUGACGUAUUUUCUAAAGCUACCAAUCAGAAAAAUGAGUCGUAUGUGUUGAUCGCAUUAUCAAAACUACUGUG